ACCUCGUUUUUCUAAGUUUCCUCAAUUCCCACCAUCCGGUUACUUAGCUUAUCACAGGUCGUACUAAAUUUACACUGUAAAAUUUGGCUUUGCGUCUACUUGGAGUAAGACAUGUGCCUUUGUUAUGACACAGGAAGCCCACAGGUUACACUGACCCCAUAAUCAAACAAAGAAAUGAGAGGAAAUGGACCCUUCUCAAAAUUAUCUUGAAUGUGAAACUUACGUGGAAAUGCGAAAGAAUUGCCACAAAUUCCACCUAAAUAGCUGUGAUUUAUUUCGUAUUUACUAAUAAAACUAAAUUGUCUGGUAGAAAGUCCUGUUAUCAAGCAAAAUCUUCAGCCUCUUUCAAAUACAACAAUGAGAAGAGAGAAGAUAGCUGGAAUAAGACAAUCGAACUGUAAAAAAGAAAACUAAAUGCGCAAGGCAAGAUAGUUAAACGUCGUAAAAAAAUAAGUUAAAGUAACUGCAUGGACAUUCCCGAGAUAACCAGAACCACUAAAGAUAGGCAAGGCUGGAGUAAAAUAUCUACUUUAAGACUGCGAAAAAGUACAGACACUUCUUUGAAGUUGCAGAGAAACUCGCCAAACCAACGGUGCGAAUAGAAGACUAAGGGUUGUGACACUGAGAAUGAGGAGAUAGACCUACAAAAAUGAGAUGAAAUCUUCUAGCACGACUUCCAAGGACAAAUGAGAACUCACUGACCUGCGCCAGACCUGCUGCUACUAUAUACUUGCUAUUGUUUGAGUUGGGAAGAAACAGGCGAAGCACGAAAACCCCUACUAAAAACUAUAGAUAAAAAAGAAAAAAGAGAAAAAGAAAGAAAAAUAAGAUAAGUGUUGGUAUAACACAUCUUUCGCUUAUUCCAUUUAUCUUACUUACAUAGGUUUUGCAUUCAUGUUUAUCCAUUUUUCUUUGCAAAUACCAUAGAAUUGAAGUUAAAUUCCAUUUGCAUCCCACACUUACCCUAUUUUCAUUGCAAAUUUUCAGAUUUUUACAGCCUAUUCUACCCAUAUAUUUUCUCGAAUAAUCUCAGCAAAAAUAUACCCCUUUUAUUUGCAAUGAUUUCACUUUUCCCUUGAGCUUAUCCAAUUUUCUCCUUUUUUGUCACAAUGAGGAAGAAGUAAAGACCGUCCCGAGGUAUCCUACCUUUAAGACUACGACACCAAAGGUUAACGUUAAAGUGACAGAUAGUUCACUUAAAACGAAUGAAGGAAACACAUGCAGACCUAUAAAAAAAGCAAAAAAUAAACAAGACAAGAAAUCCUUAAUGGGCUCCACUAAAUGCACAACCUACGAAAGCAGAAAAACUAUCUUGAGAAAAGGAAUAGGCAGGCUAUUACUAGAAUGGCUAAAAACAAAACCACAUAAAAUCAAAGUUACAUCAUAAGACAUGCAACAGGCUAGAGAUAUGGUACCUGUUUAAC
rnacentral:lncRNA from 1 species